GUGGCUAUAGCUCAGCUGGUUAGAGUAGUGGUUUGUGGUACCAUUGGUCGUGGGUUCGAAUCCCAUUAGCCACC
rnacentral:tRNA from 1 species